GACGAACGCUGGCGGCGUGCCUAAUACAUGCAAGUAGAACGCUGAAGGAGGAGCUUGCUUCUCUGGAUGAGUUGCGAACGGGUGAGUAACGCGUAGGUAACCUGCCUGGUAGCGGGGGAUAACUAUUGGAAACGAUAGCUAGUACCGCAUAAGAGUAGAUGUUGCAUGACAUUUGCUUAAAAGGUGCAAUUGCAUCACUACCAGAUGGACCUGCGUUGUAUUAGCUAGUUGGUGGGGUAACGGCUUACCAAGGCGACGAUACAUAGCCGACCUGAGAGGGUGAUCGGCCACACUGGGACUGAGACACGGCCCAGACUCCUACGGGAGGCAGCAGUAGGGAAUCUUCGGCAAUGGACGGAAGUCUGACCGAGCAACGCCGCGUGAGUGAAGAAGGUUUUCGGAUCGUAAAGCUCUGUUGUAAGAGAAGAACGAGUGUGAGAGUGGAAAGUUCACACUGUGACGGUAUCUUACCAGAAAGGGACGGCUAACUACGUG
rnacentral:rRNA from 1 species